ACUUUAUAUUAACUAAUUCAUAUUUUUUUUACACAGGAUGCUAUGGAUUCAUAUGUAAGGGAAACACUUCAGAAGUGGAACAUUGAAACAUUAAUCGACAGAUUUGCAGACACUCUUGGAUCCUGCAAGCUAUCCUUCCUCCAUUGCCAUUCAAAAAGGGCUACAAGAUGGUUCGGCCCUCUUACCAGGAGGCAAAACAACCAUUUGUUGAUUUACAGCUUGUAGGUUGGAACAAACAAUAUUUGGAGGAGGAGGAGCAACGGAGGCAAUUCCCUCAUGUCCUGCAGCUUGGAGAUAAAUUCAACUGCUCACAAGCCUUCGUCAUUGUGGGAGGAGCGGCACUAGAGCAAGACAGCCUUUUACAAGCUGUGGAUACAUGCUUUAAAAUAUUUUAUGCUUUAGACAUAGACUAUCCAAAGCCUCUGUUUGGCAGUUUCUACAACACACAAUAAAUUCUGUGCCCUUCUGUCCAUCAACUUACUGUCGCUUACUCAGGCAGUUUUUAAUUGGAUAAGCUGGACAAGCUUUGGUUUGUUUUGUGUAUUUGUUUUCCAUGUUUCUAGAACUUAAAACAUAUAUGUAAAUAAAUUCAUUUUAGCAUUAAUACUCUGUGCCUGAGGUGUUCCCUCAACACUGUCGCCUUAUGAGGCAGUUUAUAAUUGCAUUACUAUUAUGUAUUUAUUUGUUUAUUUAUUGAA